rnacentral:misc_RNA from 1 species
AUAAAAAAAAAAAACACUUUAUUCUUCUUCUUUGUGUUUUCUUCAUCUUCUUCUUCUUCUCAUUUUUUUCUCUUGCGUCCUUGUCUUAUUCUUCUUCUUCCUCUGUUUCUCUGCUCAACGACUACACUUCUCUCUUUGACCGACUCACAUGAUUGUCUCUCUUAGCCUUGGCUAGCUGCAUGUUGAAGAUUCAAAAGUUCUUCACCUUGUGAUUGUCUCAUCUACGAUUUUUGUUUGUCUUGUAAAUCCCUAAUUUGCUAAUUUGUGAUUUGUAAAUCUUCUUUGUAUUUAUUGUUUUAUUGAUUUGUGUUGUAAAUUGCUUGGAUUUGCGUACUUGUUGUAUAUUGCAAAUAUUGUGCUUGUGUUUAUGAUUUUAAUUAUUUAUUGCAGAGUUAAUCUUUUAGUUUUAUUAUAUAUUUAUGAUUUUUUUUUUUAUGAUUUUGUGCUCUCCAUGAUGAAUUGAAGAUUUGGGGAAGUUUUGUUGUGGAU